rnacentral:sRNA from 1 species
UGGUCGACGACCAACGAUACCAGUCUCCGC